UCUGCAUGACUCAAGGCCUGUGUGAACAGCUAGAAGAGAGUUUUGUGAGGCUGUCUUAUACCAGGGAUUUACUUUUUCCACAUCAAGACAGAACAACUGAGCUUUUGAGGUUGAGGUGAUCCCAUUUCUAGCAACUAGCACCACUUCAUAAUGCUGUCACUGAACUCAUACAGAAAAGUGUUUCAGAAAGGCCUAUUGAAGCUGUCUGGGAGAAACCGAUGUCACACACUAUGAAGAUUUGGUGGUGAAACAGGCACGUGGAGUUGAUUGAACUCAUUUGCUCAUGUUACCAACUAGGCAAUGGCAGAAUCUGAGCACUCAGACUUCUGAAAACCAGGAACCGAAUGCUUCACGUAGUGCCCACACAACUUGACCGCCAAUGGACAUAGGGUAAUGCUUACAUCUUCAGAUGUUUCAAGUGUCUGGGACCCCAAAUCUUGAACGUUUUAAUACAUGGUUGUUACUUUAAGUGGUUGAGAGAAAGCUGGACUGUCUCUCUCCUUCAGCUCCUUCCCCUUCCAUUCUUUGCACUAUAAUUUCCCCUGAUACUUUCAGAUGAGCCUUUGCUUUUUGUCCCAUUAAGGCAGUAGUACGGUAGAAGACUUCAAAAGUUAAAACCUUGCCCUUUGCUACCUGGCAUACUCUAUUGCUGCAUACACAGUCUGUUAGAGGGUUGAACACUUACUUCCCUGAUCAAAGUCCCCUUCUCCCCCACCUCCUGCAUGUGCCUCUUCUCCAUCAUCUCCACUUAGCUACAGUCCCAAACACUCUCACUUUAUAUUCCUCACUCAUUCAGCCCCUCAUUUCUUUCCCUUUUACUCCUAACAAGGGUAGAACUGAAACCAGUAUUGAACCUCACCAAAUCUCUACAAAAGGUCCAGCAUCUUUCCCCUGUUGCCACCACAGUCACUUGGGUGGAUGCUGUCUAGAAAUCCUUGUGGUUAAUCUGUGCUUCAAUGUGAAUGCUAAUUGAUUGCUGCACAUAACUUUUCUGAGAUGCUGAGACCAGAACUGCACACAAUAUUCAAGACAUUGGCGCACAAUUGAUUUCUAUAGUGGCAUGAUGAUGUUUUUCAUUUUGUUUUCAAUUCCCUUCUUAAUGAGGCCUAACACUAUGAUGGCUUUUUUUGGUUACCACUGCACACUGAGCUGAUGUUUUUUUGACAACUAUAAAUAAUAAGUCUCGGGUCUCUUUCCUGAGUCAUAACAGCUGACACACCAGUCCGAUUUUCAGACUGCUGGUGAGCCACAUGCUCAAUAUCUGUCUCAGUUUGGCAACCAAAAAUUAAGGCACUCAAAAAUCACUUGUAAUCUCUGAAGGUGUCAGUCAUUAUAGUUGUCAUGUUAUUUUUUGCAUCCUUUUUUGUCCAUGCAUUUGAUCUGUUUCUUAGUACUCCUCUCU